rnacentral:lncRNA from 1 species
UGCAGGAAUUCAAACCCUGACUAAGACAUCCACCCUACUCUUAGGCAACACCAUUCUUGGGCUGAGGUCCUCAAUGUGCAUAGAAAGGAGAAAGGUGGAUGAGCACCAGCAUGCCACAGCCAUGAAGGUGGCAUUCUUCUCAAGAUAGGCCAAAUUGGUUUUGCUCCUUAAAUAUUUGAUUCCUGGCUGAGAAAACGCCCAUCAGAUUGGACGAGACUUUUGAGAGGAGAGGCUGCAAGCUGGAUCUGAUUCAGAGCCGCCGGUUCCCAUACUGUGCCGAGGGAAAGGGGGACUGUCAACCUGUGGAGAGAAGCAGCCAGCAGCAGGAUGCUGGUUGGAUGCUGGGAGUCGGGGAGAGACAUGCCUAGAAACAGCCCCUGGAGUCUGAAGAGUGACUUUGAGUCUAAAGUGUAGGCACGUGGCUAUCGCCUGAAUGCCAGGCGUGUCGGGGUGAGCAGGACUCUCAUGACAAUAGGUAAAGGUGACACUCAAGGGAAGACGUAGAAGCCAUACAAAAUGGUGCCCUGGGGUCAUUUGGAAAGGAG